CUGAAGCCUGUGAUUGGUGGAGUUUGGGUGCUGUCCUCUUUGAACUUCUCACUGGCAAGACUCUGGUUGAAUGCCAUCCAGCAGGAAUAAAUACUCACACUACUUUGAACAUGCCAGAAUGUGUCUCUGAAGAGGCUCGCUCACUCAUUCAACAGCUCUUGCAGUUCAAUCCUCUGGAACGACUUGGUGCUGGAGUUGCUGGUGUUGAAGAUAUCAAAUCUCAUCCAUUUUUUACCCCUGUGGAUUGGGCAGAACUGAUGAGAUGAACGUAAUGCAGGGUUAUCUUCACACAUUCUGAUCUUCUCUGUGACAGGCAUCUCCAGCACUGAGGCACCUCUGACUCACAGUUACUUAUGGAGCACCAAAGCAUUUGGAUAAAGACCGUUAUAGGAAAUGGGGGGGAAAUGGCUAAAAGAGAACAAUUCGUUUACAAUUACAAGAUAUUAGCUAAUUGUGCCAGGGGCUGUUAUAUACAUAUAUACACAACCAAGGUGUGAUCUGAAUUUAAUCCACAUUUGGUGUUGCAGAUGAGUUGUAAAGCCAACUGAAAGAGUUCCUUCAAGAAGUUCCUCUGAUAGGAAGCUAGAAGUGUAGAAUGAAGUUUUACUUGACAGAAGGACCUUUACAUGGCAGCUAACAGUGCUUU
rnacentral:lncRNA from 1 species